rnacentral:tRNA from 1 species
UCCCUAGUGGACCAGUGGCUAAGUCUCUGAAUUCCCAAUGCAGGGGGCCCAGGUUCAAUUCCUGGUCAGAGAA